GCCCUCGUAGCUCAGUGGAUAGAGCGUCGGUUUCCUAAACCGUGCGUCGUAGGUUCGAUUCCUACCGGGGGCG
rnacentral:tRNA from 1 species